rnacentral:rRNA from 1 species
UACGAAGGGGGCUAGCGUUGCUCGGAAUCACUGGGCGUAAAGCGCACGUAGGCGGAUCUUUAAGUCAGAGGUGAAAUCCCAAGGCUCAACCUUGGAACUGCCUUUGAUACUGGGGAUCUCGAGUCCGGAAGAGGUGAGUGGAACUGCGAGUGUAGAGGUGAAAUGCGUAGAUAUCGUUUGGAACGCCAACGGUGAAAACAGACAGCUGGGAGUGUGCUGACGCUGAGACACGAAAGCCAGGGGAGCGAACGGG